AACGAACGCUGGCGGCGUGGAUAAGACAUGCAAGUCGAACGGGAUUAUUUUUGUAGCAAUACAGAAAUAAUUCAGUGGCGAACGGGUGCGUAACACGUGGGCAAUCUGCCGAAAAGUGGGGGAUAGCUCGCCGAAAGGCGAAUUAAUACCGCAUGUGGUGAGGGACGACAUCUUCCUGAAUCCAAAGCCGGGGCAACCUGGCGCUUUUUGAGGAGCCCGCGGCCUAUCAGCUUGNGGUGAGGUAACGGCUCACCAAGGCUUUGACGGGUAGCUGGUCUGAGAGGACGACCAGUCACACUGGAACUGAGACACGGUCCAGACACCUACGGGUGGCAGCAGUCGAGAAUUUUUCUCAAUGGGGGCAACCCUGAAGGAGCGACGCCGCGUGGAGGAUGAAGG
rnacentral:rRNA from 1 species